CCUACGGGAGGCAGCAGUGAGGAAUAUUGGUCAAUGGACGAGAGUCUGAACCAGCCAAGUAGCGUGAAGGAUGACUGCCCUAGGGUGGGUAAACUUCUUUUAUAAGGGAAUAAAACGAGACACGUUUGCCUUUUUACAUGUACUUUAUGACUACGGAUCGGCGAACUCCGUGCCAGCAGACGCGGUAAUACGGUGGAUCCGAACGUUAUCCGGAUUUAUUGGGUUUAAAGGGGGCGUAGAUGGGUUGUUAAGUCAGUUGUGAAAGUUUGCGGCUAAACCGGAAAAGUGCAAUUGAUACUGGCAGUCUGGAGUACAGUUGAGGUAGGCGGAAUGCGUGGUGUAGCGGUGAAAUGCUUAGAUAUCACGAAGAACCCCGAUUGCGAAGGCAGCUUACUAAACUGUGACUGACAUUGAUGCUCGAAAGUGUGGGUAUCAAACAGGAUUAGAUACCCGAGUAGUC
rnacentral:rRNA from 1 species